CCUACGGGUGGCUGCAGUGGGGAAUAUUGCACAAUGGGCGCAAGCUUGAUGCAGCCAUGCCGCGUGUGUGAAGAAGGCCUUCGGGUUGUAAAGCACUUUCAGCGGGGAGGAAGGCGGUGAGGUUAAUAACCUCAUCGAUUGACGUUACCCGCAGAAGAAGCACCGGCUAACUCCGUGCCAGCAGCCGCGGUAAUACGGAGGGUGCAAGCGUUAAUCGGAAUUACUGGGCGUAAAGCGCACGCAGGCGGCCUGUCAAGUCGGAUGUGAAAUCCCCGGGCUCAACCUGGGAACUGCAUUCGAAACUGGCAGGCUAGAGUCUUGUAGAGGGGGGUAGAAUUCCAGGUGUAGCGGUGAAAUGCGUAGAGAUCUGGAGGAAUACCGGUGGCGAAGGCGGCCCCCUGGACAAAGACUGACGCUCAGGUGCGAAAGCGUGGGGAGCAAACAGGAUUAGAUACCCCGGUAGUC
rnacentral:rRNA from 1 species